GAUGCCAGGGUCCCAAGGCCUAAACCCACAUGAGCUUGCUCAUAAGUGGGGUUAGGGCCCUGGGACUCGCCCUAAUAUAGGCAUAAAAAUAGGAUGCGUAUCCCACGAUAUGCGAAUAUUUGGUAGGAUUGUGGGAGUGCGCAGCGUGAAACACCCC
rnacentral:sRNA from 1 species